rnacentral:rRNA from 1 species
GACGAACGCUGGCGGCGUGCUUAACACAUGCAAGUCGAACGGAAAGGCCCUGCUUUUGUGGGGUGCUCGAUUGGCGAACGGGUGAGUAACACGUGAGUAACCUGCCCUUGACUUUGGGAUAACUUCAGGAAACUGGGGCUAAUACCGGAUAGGAGCUCCUGCUGCAUGGGGGGGGUUGGAAAGUUUCGGCGGUUGGGGCUGGACUCGCGGGUUAUCAGCUUGUUGGUGGGGUAGUGGCUUCCCAAGGGUUUGACGGGUAGCCGGCCUGAGAGGGUGGCCGGCGACCAUGGGCCUGAGAGAGGGACCAGAAUCCAACGGGAGGCAGUAGGGGGGAAUCUUGCACAGCGGGCGGAAGCGUGAUGCGAAAACCCCGGGAGCGGGAAGCCGGCUUACGGGUGGUAAACAAAUUUGGCCUGAGCCGAACACUGCGUGACGGUACCGGAUAAAAAAGCCCCGGCUAACUACGUG